rnacentral:rRNA from 1 species
UGCGCAGGCGGUCCGUUAAGACAGAUGUGAAAUCCCCGGGCUUAACCUGGGAACUGCAUUUGUGACUGGCGGACUCGAGUAUGGCAGAGGGGGUAGAAUUCCACGUGUAGCAGUGAAAUGCGUAGAGAUGUGGAGGAAUACCGAUGGCGAAGGCAGCCCCCUGGGCCAAUACUGACGCUCAUGCACGAAAGCGUGGGAGCAAACA